GUGUGACGUCACGCGGCGACGUCAGGCGCGCCGCGUGCCAACUGGCGUCGCUUUUCGCGAUGCUGUCCGUCGUCGUCGUCGACUGCUGCGGUCGACCGGCAACAAGCCGUGCUCCUGCAGCUCCGCACCCACCUCGAUGGACGGACAGCGGCCCGUGAAGCGAUUCGACUGCCAUGGUGUGCCGCGGAUUACGGGAGCGGUCGUCAACCUCCAAUAAUCCGCGCUUUACAAGGAUUCGCGGUUUAUUAAAUAAUGUACAUCGGCAUUGCGGGGUUAAGUUCACAACUGACUCAUGCAGCCAGCUAUGGCUGCAAUGUUUGGUCGUACAUGUAAUGUAUAUCGUCUAUUGUUAAACUAGAAUCACAGUUCCUAUGAUCACUGUUACAUUGUUUUUAUAGCUUUAUUUAGGUGAUUUUUAAAAUGUUUUUGUUUAGCCAUGUUUGUUUGUUGUAGUACAGAGUUAGCCUGAUAACUUUAAUCUAAAUUGUCUUAUGUUUGUUAUUGUUUGACGUGCAUCCCAUUUGGAUUUAAUGCACACAGCGUUGAAAUACGGUGUUUUUUUCUGGAAGACUUUGCUGUUUUUUCC